UACGUAGGGGGCAAGCGUUGUCCGGAUUUAUUGGGCGUAAAGAGCGUGUAGGCGGCCAGACAGGUCCGUUGUGAAAACUCGAGGCUCAACCUCGAGACGCCGAUGGAAACCAUUUGGCUAGAGUCCGGAAGAGGAGAGUGGAAUUCCUGGUGUAGCGGUGAAAUGCGCAGAUAUCAGGAAGAACACCCGUGGCUAAGGCGGCUCUCUAGUACGGUACUGACGCUGAGACGCGAAAGCGUGGGGAGCGAACAGG
rnacentral:rRNA from 1 species